rnacentral:rRNA from 1 species
UGGGGAAUAUUGGACAAUGGGCGAAAGCCUGAUCCAGCCAUGCCGCGUGUGUGAAGAAGGUCUUCGGAUUGUAAAGCACUUUAAGUUGGGAGGAAGGGCAGUAAGCGAAUACCUUGCUGUUUUGACGUUACCGACAGAAUAAGCACCGGCUAACUCUGUGCCAGCAGCCGCGGUAAUACAGAGGGUGCAAGCGUUAAUCGGAAUUACUGGGCGUAAAGCGCACGUAGGUGGUUCGUUAAGUUGAAUGUGAAAGCCCCGGGCUCAACCUGGGAACUGCAUCCAAAACAGGCGAGCUAGAGUAGGGCAGAGGGUGGUGGAAUUUCCUGUGUAGCGGUGAAAUGCGUAGAUAUAGGAAGGAACACCAGUGGCGAAGGCGACCACCUGGGCUCAUACUGACACUGAGGUGCGAAAGCGUGGGGAGCAAACAGG